ACGCUCAGCUGAUCAGUGGAAAAUCAAAACAAGUUUAAUAUAGGUUCAACUCAAGCCAUACACCCAGUGCGAAGUGAGCAGAGGGCCUGAUUUAAAUUCAGAUUGGAAUGAGCCCUCAGAGACAUGGAAACUUUGUACUGGCUUAUUGGAGCAGCUGCAAUAAUAGGAAUAGCUCUCCUGUACUUCUCCUUGUUACGAUGUGCACAAAAUAAUUGGAUUGGUACAAUACCUCCUGGACCAAAACCAAUUCCCUUUCUUGGUAAACAACUGAAGUGAACUGAACU